GUGGGGAAUCUUGCGCAAUGGGCGAAAGCCUGACGCAGCCAUGCCGCGUGAAUGAUGAAGGUCUUAGGAUUGUAAAAUUCUUUCACCGGGGACGAUAAUGACGGUACCCGGAGAAGAAGCUCCGGCUAACUUCGUGCCAGCAGCCGCGGUAAUACGAAGGGGGCUAGCGUUGCUCGGAAUUACUGGGCGUAAAGGGCGCGUAGGCGGACAGCUUAGUCAGAGGUGAAAGCCCAGGGCUCAACAUUGGAAUUGACUUUGAUACUGGCUGUCUUGAGUUUGGGAGAGGUGAGUGGAACUCCGAGUGUAGAGGUGAAAUUCGUAGAUAUUCGGAAGAACAACAGUGGCGAAGGCGACUCACUGGCCCAAUACUGACGCUGAGGCGCGAAAGCGUGGGGAGCAAACAGGAUUAGAAACCCCGGUAGUCC
rnacentral:rRNA from 1 species